GUAGGCGGGCGGCCAGCGUGAUCGUGUAAAUAGCUCAGCACCGCGGAAAAUGCGGUGAAAUAAUUUCCUGCUCAAGCCACGUGUUUAAAUCACGCAAAGGAAGAGUAAAAAAAUAUCCGUAAAAACCUUCAAACCAACACUCCGGUGUAGUAGUAGGCAAGAUCUUAUCGCCCACUACAACCCCCGGACAGCGCGUUGUAGUGCGGUGGGGGUCGUGCUCUUCUGCCAGAUGCAGAAACUUUAGUGGAUGACCUGAACUAAGAUGAAGCCGCUAUCUAUGCCUGAGGAUGAUGUGUAGGAACAACUAAGUUAACUUAAGACAGUGGUUCCUUACUUAAAAUACACGAAGACCAUGGCAGAGCAUAAAAUGUUUGUCAAAGUCUCAUCAACAGGGACAUGAAUUAAUUACAUUGUGGGUUUACCUGUUGGAUGAUACCUUUACAUAAUUUUAUUAUAUAGCAUUAAGAAAACUGAAAUAAAUUUACCCCCACACAACACAGUAAUGUUUAUUACCUCCAAUCACAGCUACUUAUAAAUGCAAACUGUAGCACAGCAAUGAAGCACGUACUGCAGAAAAAAGGGGAAAAAAACCAGAAAGAAGAGAAAUGCAAUAUUUAAUAAUGAAAAAGUAAACAUUUGUGCACAAUAUUUUUUUAAAUGAAGAGUCUGUUUUUAAUUUAGAAAUAUAAUUCCUUGGGCAUUUAAUGUGUUAGCAGUUUGUUGGAAGUCAGCACUUGGUUUUCUAAAUUUUCCACACUGCUUUUCUAUGAGCAUUUCCAAAGCAUCGUUUAUAAAUGCCAUACUGAGAUGCAUUACAUAUUUAUGUUACAUGUAUAGCAAUACAGUUAAUCUUUACAUUUCCUAGGGUAACCAGCACUGAGAGUCACAUGCCUAGAUGAAACACAUGAAAAGGAAGUUAAAAGCUGAAGCAGCAGGCAAGGAACAUGGCAUAAUUUUAAAUUAAAAUUUUAUUACUUUGGUACCAGUUCCAUCACCCUGAGGGCUGAAAUAGUAACUUUUUAACUAUGCUAGUAGGAAUAAUAAAUGUAAUCUCAGCAAAAGUGAAUUGUCCUGUGUUAAAUCUCAGCUUUUGUGAGGGAUAUGUACCACCAUUUUUAAAAGUCAUAGAAGCUGAGCUGUGACCUGUCAGAAGCAGGCAGCAGAGCCAUAGGGUAAUAUCAGCUACGAAAUCAGAAGUCAGCUUGCAUUUUAAAGACCUCUCUUGCCUGGAACGCCUUAAAUCUUCAUUCCUAAUAAAGCAAAUCUCCACAGG